rnacentral:rRNA from 1 species
GCGGAAGGAUCAUUCAUAAUCAAGUGUUUUUAUGGCACUUUAAAUCCAUAUCCACCUUGUGUGCAAUGUCAUCUCACUGGGGUUACGUUUGUAAAAUUUCGUGAUCCGUUUGGGAUUUAUAUCUACUCAGAACUUUAGUCAUUUUGUCUGAAACAUAUUAUGAAUAACUUAAUUCAAAAUACAACUUUCAACAACGGAUCUCUUGGCUCUCGCAUCGAUGAAGAACGCAGCGAAAUGCGAUACGUAAUGUGAAUUGCAGAAUUCAGUGAAUCAUCGAAUCUUUGAACGCAUAUUGCGCUCUCUGGUAUUCCGGAGAGCAUGCUUGUUUGAGUAUCAGUAAACACCUCAACUCCCUUUCUUCUUGAAAUGGAGCUGGACUUGAGUGAUCCCAACGCUUUAUUCAUAAAGUGGCGGGUUACUUGAAAUGCAGGUGCAGCUGGACUUUUCUCUGAGCUAUAAGCAUAUCUAUUUAGUCUGCCUCAAAAACAGAUUAUUACCUUUGCUGCAGCUAACAUAAAGGAGAUUAGUUCUUGUGCUGACUGAUGCAGGAUUCACAAAGACCGCUUCGGCUGUCUUUGUAAACUCGAUCUCAAAUCAAGUAAGACUACCCGCUGAACUUAAGCAUAUCAUAAGCCGGAAGGAAAAAGGAUCAUUCAUAAUCAAGUGUUUUUAUGGCACUUUAAAUCCAUAUCCCCUUGUUGUGCAAUGUCAUCUCACUGGGGGUUACGUUUGUAAAAAUUUCGUGAAUCGUUUUGGGGAUUUAUAUUCUACUCAAAACUUUAGAUCAUUUGGGUCUGAAAACAUAUUUAUGAAAUAACUUAAAUUCAAAAUACAA